CUAUGCUGCUGUAAAAGCAUUAGUGUGUGUUGUCAAGAGCAACCCACUUGCUAGCAAGGAGAUGGAGCGUAUCAAAGGCUACCAGCUGUUGGCCAUGUUGCUGAAGAAGAAACGGCCUCUGUUGAAUAGCCAUAUCCUGCACUUGACCUUCUCUUUGGUUGGAACUGUUGAUAGUGGCCACGAGACCUCCAUCAUCCCAAACUCCACAGCCUUUCAGGACCUGCUGUGCGAUUUUGAGGUUUGGCUUCAUGCUCC